rnacentral:rRNA from 1 species
CACGUAGGGGACGAGCGUUGUCCGGAUUUAUUGGGCGUAAAGAGCUCGUAGGCGGCUCGUCGCGUCGACCGUGAAAACCCGCGGCUUAACUGCGGGCUUGCGGUUGAUACGGGCGGGCUAGAGUUCGGUAGGGGAGACUGGAAUUCCUGGUGUAGCGGUGAAAUGCGCAGAUAUCAGGAGGAACACCGGUGGCGAAGGCGGGUCUCUGGGCCGAUACUGACGCUGAGGAGCGAAAGCGUGGGGAGCGAACAGG